rnacentral:rRNA from 1 species
UACGUAGGUGGCAAGCGUUGUCCGGAAUUAUUGGGCGUAAAGGAUGCGUAGGCGGUUUUUUAAGUGGGAUGUGAAAUACCUGGGCUUAACUCAGGGAUUGCAUUCCAAACUGGAAGACUAGAGUGCAGGAGAGGAAAGUGGAAUUCCCAGUGUAGCGGUGAAAUGCGUAGAGAUUGGGAGGAACACCAGUGGCGAAGGCGACUUUCUGGACUGUAACUGACGCUGAGGCAUGAAAGCGUGGGGAGCAAACAGG